AAAUAUGAUUGGUCCCUCAGAGCACAGACGGAAGCACCGCCCCCUCAGGAGGAGAGUGCACCAGUACAAACAGAGGAUGAGGCUGCUGUGUCGGAGCACCUUGAAGAAGAGUCGCCUCUGGAAGAAGUGGAGGCUGCCAUGGUAACCGAUUCAACACCAGUUGAUGUGCUGGAGAUUGACAGUGAGAACGAGGUG